rnacentral:tRNA from 1 species
GUCGAGUUAGAGGAUCUAAAAAUAAUGCGUUGAAGGUGCAUUGAAGAGCUUGACUCUUUCUUGGCA